GGUUCGAUCCUGGCUCAGAUUGAACGCUGGCGGGAUACUUUACACAUGCAAGUCGAACGGCAGCACGGACUUCAGUCUGGUGGCGAGUGGCGAACGGGUGAGUAAUGUAUCGGAACGUGCCUAGUAGCGGGGGAUAACUACGCGAAAGCGUAGCUAAUACCGCAUACGCCCUUCGGGGAAAGCGGGGGACCUUCGGGCCUCGCACUAUUGGAAGCGGCCGAUAUCGGAUUGGCUAGUUGGUGGGGGUAACGGCUCGCAAGGCGACGAUCCGUAGCUGGUUUGAGGAAGGACGAC
rnacentral:misc_RNA from 1 species